GAGCCAUAGCCAAGUGGUAAGGCAAGGGACUGCAACUCCCUGAUCGCUGGUUCAAAUCCUGCUGGCUC
rnacentral:tRNA from 1 species